CCUACGGGAGGCAGCAGCCGCGGUAAUACGUAGGGUGCGAGCGUUAAUCGGAAUUACUGGGCGUAAAGGGUGCGCAGGCGGACUUUUAAGUCAGCGGUCAAAUCGUGGGGCUCAACCCCAUCCAGCCGUUGAAACUGGGGAUCUAGAGUGUGCGAGAGGUAUGCGGAAUGCGUGGUGUAGCGGUGAAAUGCAUAGAUAUCACGCAGAACCCCGAUUGCGAAGGCAGCAUACCGGUGCACAACUGACGCUCAGGCACGAAAGCGUGGGUAUCGAACAGGAUUAGAAACCCGGGUAGUCCAGAUCGG
rnacentral:rRNA from 1 species